AGUUCCACCGGGUCGACGCCGCGGGUCACGACGAGGUAGUCGCGCAUCACCGUCGAGUGGCGCAUCUC
rfam:Gordonia sputi NBRC 100414 DNA, contig: GOSPT051.